rnacentral:rRNA from 1 species
UACGAAGGGGGCUAGCGUUGUUCGGAUUUACUGGGCGUAAAGGGCGCGUAGGCGGAUUUUUAAGUCAGGGGUGAAAUCCCACGGCUCAACCGUGGAACGGCUGGGUAUACUGCCUGUCUUGAGCCAACUAGGGGCGAGCGGAACAGACGGUGGAGCGGUGAAAUGCGUAGAUAUCGUCUGGAACGCCAAAGGUGAAAACAGCUCGCUGGGGUUGUGCUGACGCUGAGACACGAAAGCCAGGGGAGCGAACGGG